AACGAACGCUGGCGGCAUGCCUAACACAUGCAAGUCGAACGAGACCUUCGGGUCUAGUGGCGCACGGGUGCGUAACGCGUGGGAACCUGCCCUUAGGUUCGGAAUAACUCCCCGAAAGGGGUGCUAAUACCGGAUAAUGUCUUCGGACCAAAGAUUUAUCGCCUUUGGAUGGGCCCGCGUUGGAUUAGCUAGUUGGUAGGGUAAAAGCCUACCAAGGCGACGAUCCAUAGCUGGUCUGAGAGGAUGAUCAGCCACACUGGGACUGAGACACGGCCCAGACUCCUACGGGAGGCAGCAGUGGGGAAUAUUGGACAAUGGGCGAAAGCCUGAUCCAGCAAUGCCGCGUGAGUGAUGAAGGCCUUAGGGUUGUAAAGCUCUUUUACCCGGGAUGAUAAUGACAGUACCGGGAGAAUAAGCACCGGCUAACUCCGUG
rnacentral:rRNA from 1 species